rnacentral:rRNA from 1 species
CCUACGGGUGGCAGCAGUGAGGAAUAUUGGUCAAUGGACGAGAGUCUGAACCAGCCAAGCAGCGUGAAGGAUGAAUGCCCUAUGGGUUGUAAACUUCUUUUAUAAAGGAAUAAAACGAGGCACGUGUGCCUUUUCGCAUGUACUUUAUGAAUAAGGAUCGGCUAACUCCGUGCCAGCAGCCGCGGUAAUACGGAGGAUCCGAGCGUUAUCCGGAUUUAUUGGGUUUAAAGGGAGCGUAGAUGGGUUGUUAAGUCAGUUGUGAAAGGUUGUGGCUCAACCGUAAAAUUGCAGUUGAGACUGGCAGUCUUGAGUACAGUAGAGGUAGGCGGAAUUCGUGGUGUAGCGGUGAAAUGCUUAGAUAUCACGAAGAACCCCGAUUGCGAAGGCAGCUUACUAGACUGUGACUGACAUUGAUGCUCGAAAGUGUGGGUAUCAAACAGGAUUAGAUACCCGUGUAGUC